rnacentral:lncRNA from 1 species
AGACAGGAGAAUCGCUUGAACCCAGGAGGCAGAAGUUGCGAUGCCAUCACCUGCCUGGGAUGCUGGAACCACAGACGCCAUCUUGGACUGUUGGGGAGCAGUUUGUUUAGGAGGAAAUGCCAGCACCCGAGGAUGGCAGAGCAGAAGUGAUGGAGACCUCACCGACUGCCUGAAUUAACCAAUCCUGGAAUUACACGCUGCUCUGGGCUUCUUGUUGCUUAUAAUGGACUGGUAAUUUGCAUGGAGCUACUCGGAGGAUUAACCGUGAUUACCCAGAGAAAGGACACCUUGCCUGGGCCGUUUCAAGUACUCCACACAUGUUCCUUGAUAUUAUUGAUCUCAUUCUUGCAACAUCAGCAUCUGUCCUGGUGGGUGCUCAAGUAAA